rnacentral:sRNA from 1 species
AAAAACUCUUUAAAAAA